rnacentral:tRNA from 1 species
GCCUCCAUAGCUCAAUGGAUAGAGUAGCGGUCUUCGGAACCGUUGAUGAGGGUUCGACUCCCCCUGGAGGCA